rnacentral:rRNA from 1 species
UUUCCCGCCGGUCUCUCCCUGAUGUUGGCUUUAACCGGCUGGCAUUAGUGGGCUGGCAGCUUUACUUUGAACAAAUCAGAGUGCUUCAAACAGGCGUCUCGCCUGAAUGUUCGUGCAUGGAAUAAUAGAAGAGGAUCACGGUCCGAUUUUAUUGGUUUUGCUGACCGAGAUAAUGGUUAACAGAGACAAACGGGGCCAUUCGUAUUGCUACGUGAGAGGUGAAAUUCUUGGACCGUAGCAAGACGGACUACAGCGAAAGCAUUUGGCAAGAAUGUCUUCAUUAAUCAAGAACGAAAGUCAGAGGUUCGAAGGCGAUCAGAUACCGCCCUAGUUCUGACCGUAAACGAUGCCAACUAGCGAUCCGCCAGUCGACUCAUCGCUCUGGUGGGGAGCUUCCCGGAAACGAAAGUCUUCCGGUUCCGGGGGAAGUAUGGUUGCAAAGCUGAAACUUAAAGGAAUUGACGGAAGGGCACCACCAGGAGUGGAGCCUGCGGCUUAAUUUGACCCAACACGGGGAAACUCACCCGGCCCGGACACCGUAAGGAUUGACAGAUUGAUAGCUUUUUCAUGAUUCGGUGGAUGGUGGUGCAUGGCCGUUCUUAGUUCGUGGAGCGAUUUGUCUGGUUUAUUCCGAUAACGAGCGAGACUCUGGCCUACUAAAUAGUUGACGCAUUGCCACUGUGCGCACAACUUCUUAGAGGGAUUUUCGGUGUUUUCAACCGCACGAAAUUGAGCAAUAACAGGUCUGUGAUGCCCUUAGAUGUCCGGGGCUGCACGCGCGCUACACUGGCAAACGCAACGUGCCUGUCCUGCCCCGAAAGGAGCGGGUAAACCCCUGAAAUUUUGCCGUGAUUGGGAUCGGACAUUGCAACUAUUGUCCGUGAACGAGGAAUUCCUUGUAGGGGCGAGUCAUCAACUCGUCCCGAAUACGUCCCUGCCCUUUGUACACACCGCCCGUCGCUGCCCGGGACUGAGCCAUUUCAAGAAAACCGGGGAUUGAUGGCCUAACGACUCUUCGGGG